UGUGGAGGGGUUGCGAUACGUUGUGCUAACCGAUACUAAUGAACCGUGAGGCUUAACCUUACAACGCCGAAG
rnacentral:rRNA from 1 species